GAGCCCUCUCCGCCGCUCUCGACGCGUCUACUCCCUUCAUCGCCGUCGUCGUAGAUCUCUCUUCGCCACUGCUCUAAUCCGAACACUAAUUUUAUGAUUCUGUUGCUUGGAGUUGUCUAGAACAGAAAUUUAAUUCAGUUAAUACUAGUUUGGAUUCAUCAAUUUCAGCUUUCUGCUAUCUCUUGUUCAGCGGAGUUUAAUUUGGGAAAGGAUAGGGUAAGCAUU